rnacentral:rRNA from 1 species
GACGAACGCUGGCGGCGCGCUUAACACAUGCAAGUCGAGCGAAGCGGCGGACGGGUGAGUAACAAGUGAGUAACCUGCCUUAGACAUUGGGAUCGACUCGGGAAACCGGGAUUAAUACAAAAUGGUCUAAGAUGGAACAGCGGCCCAUUAACAAGUUGGUGAGGGAACGGCCCACCAAGGAGACGAUGGGUAGGCGGCCGUAGAGGGAGACCGGCCACAUGGGAAGUGGCAAACGGUCCAAACUCUACGGGACGCAGCAGUGGGGAAUAUUGAACAAUGGAUGGAACUCUGAAGCAGCGACACCGCGUGAACGCAGAAGGCUUUCGAAUCGUAAAGUUCUUUUAUAUGGGAAGCGGUACCAUAACAAAAAGCCCCGGCUAACGACGUGCCAGCAGCCGCGGUAAUAC